ensembl:misc_RNA 7SK 7SK RNA
GGAUGUGAGGGCGAUCUGUCACCCCAUUGAUCGCCAGGGUUGAUUCAGCUGAUCUGGCUGGCUAGGCGGGUGUCCCCUUCCUCCCUCACCGCUGCAUGUGCAUCCCUCCCGAAGCUGUGACCUCGGUCUCAGUUGAAGAGGAUGACCUUCCCCGAAUAGAGGAGGACCCGUCUUCAGUCAAGGUUAUACGAGUAGCUGCGCUCCCCUGCUAGAACCUCCAAACAAGCUCUCAAGGUCCAAUAAGCUAAACUGAAAAUUCUCACCAAGCCAGGAGAAGUGGGUAAGAAAAGGAAAUACAAAACAUUUUGCCUGGCAAAGAAG